rnacentral:rRNA from 1 species
AGCAGCCGCGGUAAUUCCAGCUCCAAUAGCGUAUAUUAAAGUUGUUGCAGUUAAAAAGCUCGUAGUUGAAUUUCGGGGUUAGCAGGUCGGUCGUGCCAUCGGUAUGAACUGGUCUCGCUGAUCCCUCCCUCUUGACGAACUGUGAUGCCAUUAAUUUGGUGUCGCAGGGAUCAGGACUGUUAACUUUGAAAAAAUUGAGUGUUUAAAGCAGGCUCACGCUUGAAUACAUUAGCAUGGAAUAAUGAAAUAGGACGUUUGAUCCUAUUUUGUUGGCUUCUAGGAUUGACGUAAUGAUUAAUAGGGAUAGUUGGGGGCAUUAGUAUUCAAUUGUCAGAGGUGAAAUUCUUGGAUUUAUUGAAGACUAACGUACUGCGUAAAGCAAUUUGCCUAAGGAUGUUUCAUUAAUCUAAGAACGAAAGUUAGGGGAUCGAAGACGAUCAGAUACCGUCGUAGUCUUAACCAUAACCUAUGCCGACUAGGGAUCGGAUGUAUUGUUAAUUUUAUGUACUCU